rnacentral:lncRNA from 1 species
AAAUCUAGCUUCGUGAUAACCUGAUGGAGGGCAGUACUUCAGGACGCAGAUGGAGAGAUUCUCAUUUUUCCCCCCAUUGAUCACUCACCUUGCCCUUUGGGCUCUGUCUGUAUAAUGUCAAAAGUGCCAGUCACAUGAUUAUGGAGAAAAAUGAUGACCCACCCAGCAAUGGUCCUCCAUCCCAGGAUAGCAGUGCUUACUACAAUGGACUCCAGCUGAAUUUAUGGUCAUGGACAGACCUCUAUGAUUGAUGCCAGACCCCGGUGCUGUAUAGACCAGAUGAACAGAG